rnacentral:rRNA from 1 species
GAUGAACGCUGGCGGCGUGCCUAAUACAUGCAAGUCGAGCGAACAGACGAGGAGCUUGCUCCUCUGACGUUAGCGGCGGACGGGUGAGUAACACGUGGAUAACCUACCUAUAAGACUGGGAUAACUUCGGGAAACCGGAGCUAAUACCGGAUAAUAUAUUGAACCGCAUGGUUCAAUAGUGAAAGACGGUUUUGCUGUCACUUAUAGAUGGAUCCGCGCCGCAUUAGCUAGUUGGUAAGGUAACGGCUUACCAAGGCAACGAUGCGUAGCCGACCUGAGAGGGUGGCCGGCAACAGGGGAGCGGGACCCGGGCCCGGCCUCAGCGGGGGGGAAGAAGAGGGGAUUCUUCAGAAUGGGGGAAAGUCUGGCGGGAGAAGCGCGGGGGGAUGGAUGAAGUUUUACGAAUCGAAAACCUCUUUAAUGGGGGAAAAAAAAAUGUGAAAGAAACAAUGCACGUCUGGCGGUACCCUAACAAGAAGCCCACGGAAACCCAGGGC